rnacentral:RNase_MRP_RNA from 1 species
UCCUCGCUCAAAGAAUCGCAUUCAAAGCUCACACACAAAGAAGAAUCUUCUUCUUUCAGACACUCGCUUUGGGAGAAAGUCCCCGGACAACCUGCGCUCUUCCCAGAGUUCUUCAAGCCAGGCAUUGCGGAAACGCGCCGCCAUAGAAGCAAUUCGAUAGCGGCUUACGCCCUACUCUCACCGGCCCCUGUGCUCGCCGUCCGACAGUCUCCGCUGGAUACAAUGGGGCGUGCGGCCUGGGGUUGGAGGGGAGAAGGGGGGACUUCGGUCUUCUCUUGUAUUGGGUUGCCUUUCGUCGUGGUUCGAUAGUCAUGCGAUUGCCCUUGUUCCUUGUGGACGGGGUAACUCAAUGGGGCUCAUUCUUGAGGCGAGG